ACACCGAAUUGGAAAAUUGAGUGGGGGGAACGGGUGGAGUAACUAACGUGGGGUAAACCUAGCCCCAAAAAGAAGGGGGGAGUAACACUUGGAAACAGGUGCUAAUACCGCAUAACCAUGAUGACCGCAUGGUCAUUAUGUAAAAGAUGGUUUCGGCUAUCACUUUUGGAUGGACCCGCGGCGUAUUAACUUGUUGGUGGGGUAACGGCCUACCAAGGUAAUGAUACGUAGCCGAACUGAGAGGUUGAUCGGCCACAUUGGGACUGAGACACGGCCCAAACUCCUACGGGAGGCAGCAGUAGGGAAUCUUCCACAAUGGGCGCAAGCCUGAUGGAGCAACGCCGCGUGAGUGAAGAAGGUCUUCGGAUCGUAAAACUCUGUUGUUAGAGAAGAACAUGCGAGAGAGUAACUGUUCUUGUAUUGACGGUAUCUAACCAGAAAGCCACGGCUAACUACGUGCC
rnacentral:rRNA from 1 species